rnacentral:rRNA from 1 species
UACGUAGGUGGCAAGCGUUGUCCGGAUUUAUUGGGUUUAAAGGGUGCGUAGGCGGCAUGAUAAGUCAGUGGUGAAAGCCGGUAGCUCAACUAUCGAACUGCCAUUGAUACUGUCGUGCUUGAGUAUAGAUGAGGUAGGCGGAAUUGACAGUGUAGCGGUGAAAUGCAUAGAUAUUGUCAAGAACACCAAUUGCGAAGGCAGCUUACUAAGUUAUAACUGACGCUGAGGCACGAAAGUGCGGGGAUCAAACAGG